GAUAUAGCAUAACAAUAUCUUUCAUGAAUACACGAUACAGAGAAGAUUAGCAUGGCCCCUGCGCAAGGAUGACACGCAAAAUCGUGAACCGUUCCACAUUUUU